GAUUAUCGAAGGAUUAAGCCUUAAUUCAUAAUC
rfam:Maribacter sp. HTCC2170, complete genome.